AAUAAAAUGGCUGAAUUAUAAGCGAUAAAUUGUAAAUUUAUUUAUGAGAAAUUUCUCUUUUAUUA
rnacentral:tRNA from 1 species